UUUUUCAUUAUUUUUUUCAGUCCGCGGAGAAAUGGCUAAAAUUUGCCAUAUUCAUAAUUAUACCAUGUUACAUAUAUAUAUAUAUAUGUGUUGCUUAUUCUG